AUUGAACGCUGGCGGCAGGCCUAACACAUGCAAGUCGAGCGAGCGGCGGACGGGUGAGUAAUGUAUGGGGACUGCCCGAUCGAGGGGGAUAACUACUGGAAACGGUGGCUAAUACCGCAUACUAUCGGAUAACCCAUAUGGGACGAGCUAGUAGGUAAGGUAAUGGCUUACCUAGGCGACGAUCCCUAGCUGGUAUGAGAGGAUGAUCAGCCACACUGGGACUGAUACACGGCCCAGACACACACGGAGGCAGCAGUGGGGAAUAUUGCACAAUGGGCGCAAGCCUGAUACAGCCAUGCCGCGUGUAUGAAGAGGGCCCUAGGGUUGUAAAGUACUUUCAGUCGGGAGGCGUUACCGACAGAAGAAGCACCGGCUAACUCCGUGCCAGCAGCCGCGGUAAUUC
rnacentral:rRNA from 1 species